rnacentral:rRNA from 1 species
AUGGAGGCCUCGGAUAAAACUUUUGCUGAUGUAGUUAAGCUUUUGACAUCAUGGCUGCCUCGACGGUCGAAACCAGACAAUGUCUCGAGGGACUUCUGGAUGCCUGAUCAUAGUUGCCGAGUGUGUUAUGACUGUGAUGCACAAUUCACCAUAUUCAACCGAAGGCACCAUUGUCGUCGUUGUGGGCGCAUAUUCUGUGGUAAGUGCACAGGGAAUUCCGUCCCAGUUCCAAGUGGCCCUGAUAAAAGCGAUGAUGAGGGGGACAGGAUUCGUGUCUGCAACUUUUGCUUUAAGCAAUGGGAGCAAGAGCAAAUUGCUGCUGUCAAACAGAUACUGCCGGUGCUCAGUCCUUCCCUGUCUGAGGCGAGCCUGUUCAGUACAAAGUCAACUAUCACCAUUAAUAGUGUUAGCACACCAGCUGCAUCUUACUCUACUGGAAAUUAUCAGCAUGUGGCUCAUGCUUCCAGCAUUGGUCCUGUCCCUCCCAAAUUUUCCCAAGACAAAGUUUCCCACAGUAUGCAAGACAGCCAUGUGCCUGAGAUAAGUAUGUCCACUAUUUCAAACAGAGAUGACUCUACCUUGAUGCAGUUUGGCUAUUACACGAACAGGAGUGACGACGAAGAUGAAGAGUUUGGUGCUUACUUCUCUGACAGGCAGGUGCAACAUGAACAGCAUAAUAACCAAUACUUCCGCUCAGUUGAGUUUGAUGAGUUCAGUGCAUCGUACAAUACAACAAUAUCAAAGACUAUUGAAGUAAAUGUAAUUCCAAAAGAGUUAUCAGCUUGUGCUGCUGACCACGGAUUCCCCAGUACAUUGCCAGUCACCAAAGUGGAGGAUGAACCAGAACUUGAUAAUAGUUCAGACUGCGGGGCUGCGUCGUCCAUUUAUGCUCUGGAAACUGCCGAUACAAAUUCAGUGGAUUUUGAGAAGAAUGAUUAUUUUUGGAUUCCUCCAGAACCAGAAGAUAAAGAAGAUGAGCUAGAAACUGAUUUGUUUGAUGACGACGAUGACGAUGAUGAGCCUGUAUCUGAUGGUGGACGGUGUUACCUUCAAUCAUCAAGUAGCUUCGGUAGUGGAGAAUUUCGAAGUAGAGACCGCUCAACUGAAGAACACAAGAAAGUAAUGAAGAAUGUUGUUGACGGACAUUUCAGGGCUUUGAUUUCUCAGUUGUUGCAGGUGGAGAAUAUCACAUUAGAGGAAGGUGAUGACAUGGGUUGGUUGGAGAUUGUUACUUCGGUAUCAUGGGAAGCUGCAAACUUCCUCAGACCAGACACAAGCCAAGGUGGUGGCAUGGAUCCUGGUGGAUAUGUCAAAGUUAAGUGUUUAGCAAGUGGACACCGCAGUGAAAGCACUGUUGUGAAAGGAGUAGUCUGUAAGAAGAAUGUCGCACAUAGGCGCAUGACUUCCAGAAUAGAAAAACCUCGCCUUCUUCUACUUGCUGGAGCUCUUGAGUAUCAUCGAGUUACAAAUCAGCUGUCAAGUAUUGACACAUUGCUCCAGCAGGAAACAGAUCACCUUAAAAUGGCGGUUGCGAAGAUUGUAGCUCAAAAACCUAACCUACUUUUGGUCGAGAAUACUGUUUCUCGCUAUGCUCAAGAUUUGCUUCUAGAAAAGAACAUAUCACUAGUUUUAAAUAUUAAGCAAUCCCUCUUGCAGCGUAUAGCUCGUUGCACAGGUGCUCAGAUAGUUCCUUCCAUUGAUCUCUUGCCAUCUCAGAAACUUGGUUAUUGUGAGUUGUUUCAUGUAGACAAACAUAUUGAACAUUCCGUGACUUUGGGUAAUAAGACUAAGAAAAUGCUGAAGAACAUGAUGUUUUUUGAAGGAUGCGCAAAGCCAUUAGGUUGCACUGUUCUGUUGAAAGGUGGCAGCAUGGAUGAGCUAAAGAAAAUUAAGCAUGUUGUCCAGUAUGGCAUAUUUGCAGCAUAUCACUUGGCCUUAGAAACAUCUUUCCUUGCAGAUGAAGGUGCCACUCUGCCAGAACUUCCCUUGAGGUCUCCACUGACUGUAACCUUACCACAUAAGCGAUCUACUGUAGACAACUCUAUUUCAACGGUGCCAGGUUUCACAAUUAAUAUUUCCAACAGCCAACAGGCAACUGAUAGAUUUGAGCACCUGGACACAGACAUUGUUAUAUCAACUGACCCAGGUGGAACAGCUGUGGUUGAACCACCAGUAGACAGUGAUUGCCUUACUUCUCAAAAGGCCAACUCUCAUUCUUUUGGACAAUUGUGUACCAGUGGUUGUAGCUCUAACAGCAGUAAUGGUGAUAAAUUAGAGAAGGUGACUGCAAUUGCAGAUUCUGUAUCCAUGUCUUCAAUCACUACGCAUGUACCCACGGAUCCUUCACAUAUAUAUUCUACUGUAGAAAAAAAGUGUGUGUAUUCUAGUGAUUACCAUGCUGAUUAUCCAACCAGUUCAGAUGGUAAGACAGUGAGAGCAGAUUCAAUCAACACAAACCAUCAUCAGAGCACAUCUGCAGUCAGCACAAAUAUUACUAAUUAUUCUAAUCUCAAGGAGCCAUUAGAGGGUUCAAAUGCUUUGCCUAAUGUGAGAAUGGUCAAUGCUAAUAAUUUGUUGGUAGUGCAACCAAUGUCUAGUCCUGCAGUGCAAAAUCAAGAAACCAGUCAAGGACAUGAUGCCACAUCAAAUAAGACAGAAAUUGUGCCUUCUGACCAUCAGAGCAUCUUAGUCUCUUUGUCCAUACGUUGUGUAUGGAAAAGAUCUAUUUGUGAGCGUUCCCAGUUGUUACGCAUCAAGUAUUAUGGUAACUUUGACAAGCCUCUAGGAAGGUUUUUGCGUGACUACCUGUUUGAUCAGGGCUAUCAGUGCCGAUCCUGUGAUAAGCCACCUGAAGCUCAUGUCCAUUGCUACACUCAUCGCCAGGGGAGUCUAACAAUAUCAGUUAGAAAACUUGCAGAUGUUGUUUUGCCAGGAGAACGGGAUGGAAAAAUUUGGAUGUGGCAUAGGUGUCUAAAGUGCCCCUGGAGUGAUGGAUUUCCACCAGCUACUCAUAGGAUUGUCAUGUCUGAUGCUGCUUGGGGUUUGUCACUUGGUAAAUUUUUGGAGCUUAGCUUCUCAAAUCAUGCAGCUGCAAGUAGGGUAGCCAGUUGUGGUCAUUCUCUCCAUAGGGACUGCCUUCGGUUCUAUGGGUUUGGAAAAAUGGUGGCUUGCUUCCGAUAUGCACCUAUUAAUGUUCAUUCAGUCCAUGUACCACCUCAUAAACUUUAUUUUACUCACCAGCCUUUGGACUGGAUACAGAAAGAAGUAAACGAGGUUAUUGACCGGGCAAAGGUUCUGUUUGAUGAAGUAUCACGUACUUUACACCUGAUCUCCGAGAAAAAGGCUCACUGCAGUUCUCUCAAUGUGGAAUGUACCAAUUACAUUGCUGAACUUGAAAGCAUGUUUCGGAAGGAAAAGUUAGAAUUUGAGGGAUGUCUGAAUAAAGUUUUUAAAAAGGAAGUGCCGAAAUGUCAACCAGACAUUCUCGAGAUUAAUAGGCUGAGGAGACAGUUACUCUUCCAUUCAUACUUGUGGGAUCAAAGGCUGUUAUUUGCUGCAAGAUCAGAUAGGAAUCGCCAUGAACUAUCUAAUACCAGGCAAGGCGAUAAGGAGACAAUCCAUUCCGUGGAUGGUGGUGCUGAUCCAAAUGUCACAGAACAGCCUCAAAGAGAAAAUAGUGGCAGUGUGGCUGCUAAUAAAGAUGUUAAAUAUGCUGAAAACCUCCAGGUAAGCAUUUGUGGACAGAAUUGCAGCGGAGUUGAUCCAAGUAAUAGUUACUGUAAUCUUGACCAGCGGAUACCGACAAGUGAGUCGGAUUUCCUCCAAACAAAUAUCCAAACACCUUUGUACAGCAGCGUCAGUGUGAAUGGGGAUUCAGUUCCUUUUGAGCCUGAUCUUGUUGCUCGACGAACCCUUUCAGAAGGGCAGUUUCCCAGUUUAUUGGAUGUGUCAAAUGCACUGGAUGCAAAAUGGACUGGUGAGAAUGAUCCUGUCACUAGCAAGGUAACAUUGCCAGAUUCUAUGGCAUCGUCAGAGGACUCAGAAGAACAUAUCAGCGAUACUACACCUUCGUAUGCCUCUGUAUUGCUGAAUAAGCUAGGGGAUAGUGCAGAGGACCAUUCCAAUUGGAUAGGAAUGCCUUUUUUACAAUUGUACCGUUCUCUUAACAAGAAGUGGAGUCGUUCAAAAAGGUUUGAUGCGCUCAUUGAAUAUACACCUGUUUAUAUUUCUUUCUUAAGGGCAGUGGAGCGACAGAUUGGGCCCAAAUUUCUCUUUCCUAUAGGGAUCAAUGACACUGUUAUUGGAGUAUACGAUGAUGAACCUACUAGCAUCAUCUCGUAUGCACUUGCCUCUCAUGAAUACCAUCUUCAGCUGUCAGAUGAGCUGGAAAGAGAAGCAACAGAUACUUCACCCCCACUUUGUGAUUCAAGAAGUGUGUCCUUAACUGAAUCAGUGGAUGAAACUACUUCUGAACUUCUAAGAACUGUUGUGUCAACAGACGACAAUAUUGUCUCCAUUCCAGGAAGCAAGAACCCAUCCACUUCGGAUCCACUUGUAUAUGGUAAAGUAACUCACAUAAAGGUUAAUUUUGGAGAUGAAGGUCCUCUAGAACAAGUGAAGUACACAGUAAUUUGUUACUAUGCGAAACAAUUCGAUGCAUUGAGGAGAAUAUGCUGUCCAUCAGAGCGUGACUUUGUCAGGUCACUAAGUCGUUGCAAGAAAUGGGGUGCUCAAGGAGGCAAGAGUAAUGUUUUCUUUGCAAAAUCACUGGAUGACAGGUUCAUAAUUAAACAGGUUACCAAAACGGAAUUGGAGUCUUUCAUGAAAUUUGCUCCAGACUAUUUUAAAUAUCUGUCCGAGUCAAUUUGCACUGGCAGUCCUACUUGCAUUGCAAAAAUUCUUGGUAUUUAUCAGGUUAAGAGCCUGAAAGGUGGAAAGGAGGUGAGGAUGGAUGUUCUGGCCAUGGAAAAUCUUUUAUUUGAACGUCGUGUGACAAGAUUAUAUGAUUUGAAGGGCUCAACAAGAUCAAGAUAUAACCCUGAUUCAAAUGGUAGCGAUAAAGUACUUCUUGACGAGAACUUGCUUGAAGCGAUGCCUACUUCCCCUAUUUUUGUCGGGAAUAAGGCAAAGCGGCUUCUGGAGAGAGCUGUUUGGAACGAUACUGCAUUCCUUGCUUCUAUUGACGUAAUGGAUUACUCUUUACUUGUCGGUGUUGAUGAGAAGAAGCACGAGCUUGUUAUGGGAAUCAUUGAUUUUAUGAGGCAAUAUACAUGGGACAAACAUCUAGAAACAUGGGUGAAAGCUUCAGGAAUAUUAGGUGGACCAAAGAAUGUAUCACCAACUGUAAUUUCACCAAAGCAGUACAAAAAGCGUUUCAGGAAAGCUAUGUCAGCCUACUUUCUUGUUGUCCCAGAUCAAUGGUCGCCUGCAGCAAUUAUCCCUAGCAAGCAAGUGGCUGACAGCGGCCAGGAUAGCGAUCAGUUCGUCUCCACGGGAUCAUCAUCCUUGCUGGACCGUUGA